GAUGAACGCUGGCGGCGUGCCUAAUACAUGCAAGUCGAGCGAACGGACGAGAAGCUUGCUUCUCUGAUGUUAGCGGCGGACGGGUGAGUAACACGUGGAUAACCUACCUAUAAGACUGGGAUAACUUCGGGAAACCGGAGCUAAUACCGGAUAAUAUUUUGAACCGCAUGGUUCAAAAGUGAAAGACGGUCUUGCUGUCACUUAUAGAUGGAUCCGCGCUGCAUUAGCUAGUUGGUAAGGUAACGGCUUACCAAGGCAACGAUGCAUAGCCGACCUGAUAGGGGGAUCGGCCACACUGGAACUGAGACACGGGCCAGACACCUACGGGAGGCAGCAGUAGGGAAUCUUCCGCAAUGGGCGAAAGCCUGACGGAGCAACGCCGCGUGAGUGAUGAAGGUCUGCGGAUCGUAAAACUCUGUUAUUAGGGAAGAACAUAUGUGUAAGUAACUGUGAAAAUCUUGACGGUACCUAAUCAGAAAGCCACGGCUAACUACGU
rnacentral:rRNA from 1 species